rnacentral:rRNA from 1 species
AGUGAACGCUGGCGGUAGGCCUAACACAUGCGAGUCGAACGGCAGCACAGUAAGAGCUUGCUCUUACGGGUGGCGAGUGGCGGACGGGGGAGGAAUACAUCGGAAUCUACUUUUUCGUGGGGGAUAACGUAGGGAAACUUACGCGAAUACCGCAUAAGACCUACGGGUGAAAGCAGGGGAUCUUCGGACCUUGCGCUAUGGAAUGAGCCGAUGUCGGAUUAGCUAGUUGGCGGUGUAAAGUCCCACCAAGGCGACGAUCCGUAGCUGGUCUGAGAGGAUGUUCCGACCGAGUGGAACUGAGAAACGGUCAAGACACCUGCUGGAGGCAGCAGUGGGCGAUAUUGGACAAUGGGCGCAAGCCUGAUCCAGCCAUACCGAGUCGGUGAAGAAGGUCCUCGGGUUGUAAAGCCCUUUUGUUGGGAAAGAAAAGUAGCAGGUUAAUACCCCGCUGUUCUGACGGUACCCACAGAAUAAGCACCGGCUCACUUCGUG